rnacentral:tRNA from 1 species
GUGGUUGUAGCUCAGUAGCAGAGCACUUGCCUAGCAUGUGUGAGACACUGGGUUUGAUUCUCAGCACCACA